ACAUUUUGUAAUUAUUUUCAAAAAAAUCCUGCCAACUUUGAAAAGCUAUAACUAAAAAACGGUAGCGAGUUGAACCAAUCUAUGCACAGUUAUAGAAACUGCAUUAGUUUUUUUAAUUUUCAUCAGAAUAUUGCAUCAAUAUUGGAUUACCCAUUCAAAAGUUAUAAGCUUCCAAAGUUGCUGGCUACCCGGGUAGCCCGGUUGCCUGGAAUAGGGGUAUUGAAAAAUUUAAUUCUAAAAAACAGGUUAUUUAUACUCAAAAAAUUCUACGAAAAAUUUCAGUGAAAGAUGGCUGUGGAUUACACACAUAUUCCAAAUUUCAAGUCAAUCGGAUUCCUAUAAUCAGAGAAAUGAGCAAUCAAAAUCGAUCAAAAUCGUUGCCUGGAAUAGGGUUAACCCACGCUCUCGAUCACGCUGGUUUUCGCUGGUCUUUUCGGGGAUAGUUCGUUAACGAAUUAUCCCCGAAAAGACCAGCGAAAUACAGAUCAUUUUCGGGGAUAGUGAACACACGUGAAGGAUGAACCCAUGCAAAAAAGAGCUAAAAAUAGAAAUGAACAUUCGGAUUCAUUCCCUUCCCUCAUAUUCCAAUUCAUGCUCAUGCUUCAUCCUUGAUGCUACCAACCACAUCGCUAUUUCUACUUCGAAUCACUUUGCCAGUUGCGCCACCAUAUUAUUAUUCAUGAUCGUACUAUUUGCUUGUUUUGUUGUAUGAAGGGGUACUGAUACUAAAUGAAUUAAAAGAAAUAAAUAAAACAAUAAAAAUAAUAGAUUGACUAUUAAACACGCAUUUCUAACAAUGAGUAAAGGGGUCUGAAGUUACUGGAGCUGCAUGUUUUAAAAAGAAAUCAAAACUUUAAAUCAUCCAAUAAAAACAAUAAAAAUGGAAUUGAACUCAUGUCGACCAUGGUGCAAACAUUACACCAUUACCAUUUGACCACUACAGGCGGUCCCCGAGAUACACGGUACCUCUUAUACGCGGAUUCGGAGAUACGCGGUUUUCUAAAUUUGACAAUUCUUUGAGCAAAUUGUACUGAUUUGACACAUCAAUUUUAAAUUGCCAAAUAAUUUCCGUUUUGAUCGAAUGUUAAAAACUAUUUCAAAUGGUUUAAAACUGUUAUAUUCAGUAAGAAUCAUAUCAACUAAUUCAUAAAGUAACUAUAACCUCCCCCUACUUGCAAAGUUACACGAACAUUACUGAUAUUUUAGCUGGAAACCACGAGAUUCGACUUACGCGGAAAUUCGAGAUACGCGGUAUUUUGUUGCCGUUUUCGGUCCCCAUUAACCGUGUAUCUCGGGGACCGCCUGUACUAGUUCAUGAACAUGAAUCGUUAUCUAUCAGUUUUAAACCCUUCAAAUAUAGCACAAUGAACAAAGAGAUGUGUAAAAGUUCAUCGAUGCGUGUGAGAGAGUAGAGCUGAUGAAUAGAAAUAGAUGGCAUGAGUUUAUGUUCAUUAUCCCCGAAAAAUUUCGCUUGGGAAGUUGGCAACCGGAUACCCGGGUAUUUUUUUAACUUUAAACUGCAAUAACUUUUGAUUCAUUGCUUUUAUUGACCUGAAAUUUUCCGAAGCCUCCCAACUUUUAAUUUCUGAUUUUUUGGUGCAUAAGUUGUAAUUUUAAACAGCCUAUAAGUAUUUUAUUUUGAUUUUUUUUAACUUUACCACGUAAGUUGGCAACCAGCAUACCCGUGUAUUCCAUAUACGGACGUCACACGAAGCGUUAACUUUGGCGUAAACUGGAUUUCAGCCAUGCAACCCUGAAAUCUUUUGACAGGAAGUUUACGCUCUCCCAUACAAAUCAAGCGUAAACUUUUUGAGUUUACGCCUCGUGUGACGUCCGUAUAAUACGGACGUCACACGAAGCGUAACCGUAGCAAUAGACGAUGCGCAAUCUCAGAUUGCGCAUAUAUUUAUCUGUCAAACGGCCCGAUUUGAUAUAUUUAUCUGUCAAAAAAUAUUUAUAUAUCUCGGACAUAUAAAUCUCGAAAAUUCAUGCGCAAUCUUAGCGCAAUCUUGGAUUAAUACGUUUGUUUACAUAUAGCGGUAGGUAUUGAAACGAAAAAAUAUGAGAUGAGCGUUGAUUUUUGAGCCAAAAAUCUAAUUAAAUUUUGAUUACAGCCAUGGAGAACGAAUCGCCGAACGUGCCGAAUCGCCGGAACUAUAUAAAAUUGCUCUUUGAGAACUGACCUGGCUGUACCACGGGAUGUUAUGUUUCUUAUUAGUCCGCAUACACUAAUAAUCGUUUGGAAUUCUGGAAUGUAGGUUAUGCGGUUUUGGUCUUCUUCCAACAGGAAAUCUUUCUUAUAUUUCGGAAUACCAACUAUUCCUGCUGGCCCUGCUUUCCUGCACCAUUUUUGCUGCAACCUCUACCCCAACUGCUACAAUGGAAGCUAUUGCUGUUGCCGCUGCGAUUAAAAAAAACUUUCUUAUUUUUACAGGAACGUUUAUGUAUAUUUAAAUAUUUUAUAUUACAGCUCUCCCGAGUUAGAGGACUGAUAAUGGAAGAAAACUGCUGCAUCUUCCGGGCCAUCAAAAUAAUAACGGGGUCAUGGGGAUGGUGAAUGAAUAGAGUCGAGAUUAAUCGUUUUUUUAUUAUUGAUUUGCUUCCAGAAUGUUGAGAAAAGCCUUCGGCUAAUUGCCGAGGUGGAACGACGGCCUGCUUUAUGGCAAAAGCGGUCGGAGUUCUACAAAAACGGUAUUCGGCGAAGGGAUGCGUGGACCGAGAUUGGUGGACUCUCGGACCUCACCGUCGAAGAGGCGAGCUACCAGUGGAGGAAGCUGCUGACCAGCUACAGGACUUAUAAGUCCAAGCUGCGUAAAAGUCAGCAAAGCGGAGCAGCGGCUGAGGACGUCUUCCACCCAAGAUGGUUCGCCUUCGACGCGAUGAGGUUCCUCGAUGAUACCAUGAAGGACGGCACGCAUCUCGAUACGUUCGAUGACGACCUAGAACAAGACACCUCCACCCAAGCCCACCCAAUCCCUUCUUGUUCCUAUUCCUCAAUUCCGCCCCAACCAACAAUCCCAGCACCAACAAUCCCAGCACCAACAAUCCCAGCACCAAAUCCAGCACCAACAACAGCACGAACUACAGCACCAACUACAGCACCAACCCCAGCACGAACUCCAGUACCGAUCCCAGCACCAAUCCGAGCAACAACAACUCCAGCACCAACCCCAGCACAAACCCCAGCACCGACCCCAGCACCGACCCCAGCACCAAGCCCAGCACCCACUCCAGCGAUGGAAAAUUAUUUGUCCAUGUUUGGCCAGUGGGUGGGGGCAUGGUUAAUCCAUUUACCACCAGACCAACAAAACGAUGCCACUAAUCGUUUGCGGCAGACGAUGCUGGAGUGGGAUCUGGAACACAAUAAAAAAUAAAAUAAAAAAAAUUACAAAAACA